rnacentral:lncRNA from 1 species
AAAAUGUCAUCUAUUGAAAAGUCCAACUUCUGGUAAAGAGUCAUUUCCCAAGUAUCAACAUCUGGAGAUCUGUACUUGGCCGCUCGUGUCGUGAUCAAGGUGUAAAUGGCUAGAAGCACUAGCACAGCACUUAUACUGACAAGGAUCGACAUAGCAAGUUUCAUGGUUGAUUUGGCAACUCGUGUCCUGAUCAAGGUGUAAAUGGCUAGAAGCACUAGCACAGCACUUAUACUGACAAGGAUCGACAUAGCAAGUUUCAUGGUUGAUUUAGCAUGUCGAGCGGGUCCCAGUUGAG